AGUAAAUAGAUACCCCGGUAGUCCACGCCCUAAACGAUGUCAACUAGUUGUCGGGUCUUAAUUGACUUGGUAAACGCAGCUAAACGCGUGAAAGUUGACCGCCUGGGGAGUACGGCCGCAAGGUUAAAACUCAAAGGAAUUGACGGGACCCGCACAAGCGGUGGAUGAUGUGGAUUAAUUCGAUGCAACGCGAAAAACCUUACCUACGUUUGACAUGCCAGGAAGGCUGGAGAGAUCUGGCUGUGCCCGAAAGGGAACCUGGACACAGGUGCUGCAUGGCUGUCGUCAGCUCGUGUCGUGAGAUGUUGGGUUAAGCCCCGCAACGAGCGCAACCCUUAUCAUUAGUUGCUACGCAAGGGCACUCUAAUGAGACUGCCGGUGACAAACCGGGAGGAAGGUGGGGAUGACGUCAAGUCCUCAUGGCCCUUACACGUAGGGCUUCACACGUCAUACAAUGGUCGGUACAGAGGGCUGCCAACCCGCGAGGGGUAGCCAAUCCCAGAAAACCGAUCGUAGUCCGGAUUGCACUCUGCAACUCGAGUGC
rnacentral:rRNA from 1 species